AGAGUUUGAUCCUGGCUCAGAUUGAACGCUGGCGGCAGGCUUAACACAUGCAAGUCGAGCGGUAGCACAGGGGAGCUUGCUCCCUGGGUGACGAGCGGCGGACGGGUGAGUAAUGUCUGGGAAACUGCCUGAUGGAGGGGGAUAACUACUGGAAACGGUAGCUAAUACCGCAUAACGUCGCAAGACCAAAGAGGGGGACCUUCGGGCCUCUUGCCAUCAGAUGUGCCCAGAUGGGAUUAGCUAGUAGGUGGGGUAAUGGCUCACCUAGGCGACGAUCCCUAGCUGGUCUGAGAGGAUGACCAGCCACACUGGAACUGAGACACGGUCCAGACUCCUACGGGAGGCAGCAGUGGGGAAUAUUGCACAAUGGGCGCAAGCCUGAUGCAGCCAUGCCGCGUG
rnacentral:rRNA from 1 species